CGAACGCUAACCCCCAUCCCCCUCACGCCACGCACAAAUCCAUCAUCACCGGCGAGGGCAGUGUCGGACUGUGUGCCGCCGCCGUCGAUCCUCGGCCCUGACUCCGUUGAGGACUCGAAGUUGGGAGGUAGAGUUUCGCCAUUGCUCCUGUCGGGUGUUCGUGGCGGGAUUGGGCGAGACCGGCCAUUGGAGCGACCGCAAUUGCUCACCGACGAUCGCGACGAGCCCCAGAUCCGCCCAUUACCGCGAUUAGCACCAAUCAGACGUCCAUUUGCGGUAAGAUGCAUACCAGUGUGUUCGUCAUACCCUGUUCUCCGUAUAACCUCGAGCCACAAUAGAAUAGGAGCACUGUGUGGCUGAAUCGCCCAACUCCAGCGAUCCCCCGCCAUGGAUGGUGGCGGCGCCGCCAUCGGGUAGCCUGUUAGGGGAGGGCGAAGUUCGAGCGUUGAUCUGAUGAUGAACGGUUCAGAUUUGGUCCUGUUAUACUAGUUCGGGCGGGAGGUCCAGGCCAUUGGGAUCCGAUCGGGUGGAUCUGGGGGGCUCUGAGUUAUUUAAAUCUGCACCGUUAGAUUUUGAUCGGGCGGCCCACGUUGAACGAUACCCCUUCGCCCAACCCUUUUGCUAAAGAGUCCCUGACUAAAGUAGAAAUCAACCCGCAGUCCUGCGCGUGCUAAGAAACCUGUACCCUGAGCCUUAGAAACUUUGCAAGAUAGCCCCUGAACUCUUCUGUAUUAUUGUGCGCAGUCUAGGGUCUUGUUAAAGGGAAUAAAAAUUAUAGAAAAUGAGUUUUUAUAUUAAAACAAUUAUAGAAACUUGUUUAAAUCAUAAUAAAUCCAUUUUAACUCCUUUUUGAUCCAUUCUAGUUGCAUUAAUUUUGUAUUAAUAUUGUCUAUAAACUAGUAACUCUUUUAUUCAUGAAACAUAGACUAAAAUUAUUCAUUUGGCUUAGUCUAUAUCAACCACUUAAUAACUUCGAAAAUUCAUAACUCGAUAACUGUAACUCCGAAUUUAAUGAUUCUUGUUGCUACGAUUUCGUUACGAUGCGUAGAAUAUUAUUAUGUAGUAUGAUCUCAUGUUUGGUGUGAUGUUAAUUUCUCCUGUAUCAUGUUUGUUUGUAUUGUUGCGAGUAGAUGAGCAAGCCACUGAGGACCCCGGUGUUCAGUAGGUGGAUAAUUCUGAGCAUGAGCUUGUUGAAGGCAAGUUGUGCCCUUGAUCACUUUUAUUUACCUAAUAAUGUUCUCUUUAAUCACUAUGGCAUGUUUAGGCUUAAUUUUGAUGGGACCCAAUAGGUCACCCUAGUCUGCUUUAUCUUGUGCCUUGAUCACCACUGAACAUGUUUGGGUAGUCU
rnacentral:lncRNA from 1 species